UACGAAGGGGGCUAGCGUUGCUCGGAAUCACUGGGCGUAAAGCGCACGUAGGCGGCUUUCUAAGUCGGGGGUGAAAUCCUGGAGCUCAACUCCAGAACUGCCUUCGAUACUGGAGAGCUCGAGUCCGGGAGAGGUGAGUGGAACUGCGAGUGUAGAGGUGAAAUUCGUAGAUAUUCGCAAGAACACCAGUGGCGAAGGCGGCUCACUGGCCCGGUACUGACGCUGAGGUGCGAAAGCGUGG
rnacentral:rRNA from 1 species